rnacentral:miRNA from 1 species
UGUGUGUGUGUGUAUAUAUAUGUAUAUGUAUACACACACACACACACACACACACACACACACCAUGGAGUACUACUCA